rnacentral:lncRNA from 1 species
UCAUGGCAAAAGUCGAUCCCAGGAAAAGUCGAUCCGGACUUCAGGGAAUCGAACUUGCAACAUAAGGGAAGUCGACCUCAGAAGUCGAUCCCAGGGAAGUCGACCUUCGGGAGACAAGGAUCUCAGGAAGUCGAUCCCAGUAAAAAUGGAUCCAACUUUGAAAAGUCGAUGACAAGGCGUCAAACCUCACAAAGUCGGACCACAGUCCAAUAGGGGAACAACUUCGAAAGGGACCGACUUUCAGAAAAGUCGGACCCCAAGGAAGUCGAACCCAGUGCAACCUCAGAAGAGCCCGACAACAAAAGUCGGACCCCAGAAAGCUGCACCUCCAAGGCUCAAGUCGAAGCCUCACGCACGCUGGAAGUCGAAGCGGAAGACGCUGGAAGUCGAAGCGGAAGAAGCAGGAAGUCGAAGUGAAGAAGCCUAAAAGUCGAUGCGAGAAAGUCGAUCGGUCGGAGCGAAGAAAACGAGUGAGAAACAAAUGAACUCCCUCCGCUAUUUAUAGGGGAAAGUCGAAGACGAACCGUCGCGGGCACUGUUCAUCCGGGUCGACCCGUUGGGCC